ACAGCAGUUUAAAUUUCUUUUGUAAUUUGUAUAUUCAUUGGGUAUGAAUUAGAUAGAUUGACUAGUUGGAAUAAUUGGUAUUUGCUACCUUUUUUGUAAAAUUUAACUUGUGUGUGUGAGAGAGAGAUAAAAAAGUUAAACUUUCUUAUUGUAUUGAUAGUUAUUAAUAUUCUUUAUAAUGACUAUAUACGUGCUGUACUUUGGUUUGCUGUUUGUUAUGAAUUAGGUGUUUUUUGGUAGCCAAUGGUUUUUAAGGUUUUAUGGGGAAAGUUGAUUGAAAUGUCUAUACCUUUUCAAACUGAAAUUUAGCUUAUCCUUGCAAAAACCAUCAAAAGUAAAUUAAAACAUUGAUGAAUAUUUUCAUUUUUCAUAACUUGCAACAACUUGUGCUUUAUUAGUUGUUUACACACUGUUUUUAUUAGACAUUAAAGAAGCUAUUGUAAUUGUCUAAAACAAAACACUAUUAGGGUCGAACAAAAAACAAUAUAUUAAACCUUAACAACCAUAGAAAUCCAAAAUAAAGCUUUCAAACAAAUGAUUACAAAUUUUAUCACUUACAAAAAAAAAUCAUUAAAUCAGUGAUUGACCAUGACUUGAUACAAAAGAACCAGAAGAAGAAAAAUCCUAAUUCUGACAAAAAACAAUAUUUUAAAAUUAACCACUUCAAGAUCAAUAAAAAUAUUGAGCAACAGUCGGUAAUAAUUCUUUCUAACUGUAUCUCGUUAACUAACCACAUAAUCUUUCACAACAUUAAUGACUGUAUAUCAUUGCUAGGGGAAGUUUGUGUCAGUUUCAUAAUACAAACAUACUCAAAUUCAUUGUGCUCUAACUAGAAGUGGAAGCUGUUUUGAAUGGAUGAUCAACAUCUUCGGAAUGAAGUUGUAGCUUGGCUGAGAGAUCACAGAGAAAACAAGAAAUUCUGCGCAUAUGAAGAAGGUGUAGUUAAAGUUAAUAUAGACAGCAAGAACUUGCAAUAAAAGAACAACUGAAAACAGCUCUAUGUGUAGGGACAGUGAAGAUGCAGUGUGAAUUAUACAAAGAUCAAAAAAUCAUUGCUAAAAGAGGAGUUUGAAAACUUGAAAAUAACCAAAAAUUUCACUAGAUCUGAUACACAUCUAAACUGGAGUGAUAUGUCUUACUUCUGGACCAGGGGUAAAAUUCUAAAAGAAAAAAGUAGAGGUACUCAGCUGGGUGAAGUGGACCUGUUUUUGAAAAAUUAAAAUAAAAUCUACUUGUAAACAUAAAAAACGACAAAGCAGUUCAAAUAAGUUCAGGUAAAUCUUCAUUUGAAAAUGAUUUCUUCCGCAGUUUGAAUCAAGAUUUUGAUGGAAAUCCAUGCUUUUGCAGAGUAAUUUACCUAUAGAUGACCUGUCUUUGGUCAAUAUACACUGGAAGAAUAUUUGAAAGACAUAUUUAUCCUAGCCUCAGUUGCAAGUGCAAGAUUGGAGUUGGGAUGUUUGCAUGAAGUGCAAAUGUUGUGGAUGUAUUCAUGAUGGGAGUUUCUGUUGAAAUUAAAUCAGUCAGAAGUGUUAUUAUUUUCAUUAUAAUCAUUUUCAUUGCAUUAGAUCAUUCAGUAAUGACAGAUUUAGAUAUGAUUGAUCAGACCUCAUUCAAUGAAAGUCAUGAAGUUGAAGAAUAUAUUAUUGUUUGUACUAAAUGUGACAAACAUGCUGAAAACCAUUCAUAUCGUGCAAAUCAAGGUCGAAAUGGAAUAGCCUCAGUCAAAUUAUCCUUGCUUUUAGUAAGAAUUUUCAACAAUCUACACCAAAAUAGA